GCGUUUGUGGGCAAGUGGUACGCUUCCACACUUUUAUGAAAUGUGGCUAUCGCGGGUUCGAUCCCCGCCGGACGCU